rnacentral:rRNA from 1 species
GACGAACGCUGGCGGCGUGCUUAACACAUGCAAGUCGAACGGAAAGGCCUCUUUCGGGGGGUACUCGCGUGGCGAACGGGCGAGUAACAAGUGAGUAACUUGCCCUCGACUUUGGGAUAACUUCCGGAAACUGGGGCUAAUACCGGCCAGGAGCUCUUGUUGCCCGGAGGGGGCUGGAAAGUUUCGGGGGUUGGGGGUGGGUUGGCGGUUUAUCCGCUUGUUGGUGGGGUGUUGGUUUACCAAGGCCUUGCCGGGUCGCCGGCCAGUGGGGGUGAUCGGCCACAUAGAGACUGAGGUGCGGCCCAGGCUGCUACGGGUGGGAGCAGUGGGGAAUAUUGCACAAUGGGUGGAGGCCUGAUGCAGCAGCGCCGUGGGCGGGAUGACGGUCUUCGGGUUGUAAACCGCUUGCGCACAUGACGAAGCUUGGUGUGACGGUAGUGAGUAAAGAAGCACCGGCUAACUACGUG